UGGAGGGCAAGCCUGGUGCCAGCAGCCGCGGUAAUUCCAGCUCCAAUAGCGUAUAUUAAAGUUGUUGCAGUUAAAAAGCUCGUAGUUGAAUUUCGGGAUCAAUAUGUCGGUCGUGCCUUCGGUACGUACUGGUAUCAUUGGUCUCUCCUUUCUGACGAACCAUGAUGUCAUUAAUUUGGUGUUAUGGGGAGUUAGGACUGUUACUUUGAAAAAAUUAGAGUGUUUAAAGCAGGCUUUAGCUUGAAUACAUUAGCAUGGAAUAAUGAAAUAGGACGUUCGAACCUAUUUUGUUGGUUUCUAGGAUCAACGUAAUGAUUAAUAGGGAUAGUUGGGGGCAUUAGUAUUCAAUUGUCAGAGGUGAAAUUCUUGGAUUUAUUGAAGACUAACUACUGCGAAAGCAUUUGCCAAGGAUGUUUUCAUUAAUCAAGAACGAAAGUUAGGGGAUCGAAGACGAUCAGAUACCGUCGUAGUCUUAACCAUAAACUAUGCCGACUAGGGAUCGGAUGAUGUUAAUUUUUUAAUGACUCAUUCGGCGCCUUACGGGAAAC
rnacentral:rRNA from 1 species